rnacentral:piRNA from 1 species
UGAGACACAAUCCUGAUAGAAUGUAGCCUC